CGAAGAACCUUACCUGGGUUUGACAUGCAAGUGGUAGGGAACUGAAAGGGGACCGACCCUUCGGGGAGCUUGCACAGGUGCUGCAUGGCUGUCGUCAGCUCGUGUCGUGAGAUGUCCGGUUAAGUCCGGUAACGAGCGCAACCCCUGCUGUAUGUUACAAGUGUCAUACGGGACUGCCGGUAUAAAGCCGGAGGAAGGUGGGGAUGACGUCAAGUCAGCAUGGCCUUUAUGCCCAGGGCUACACACACGCUACAAUGGUCAGGACAAUGGGUAGCAAAGCCGCGAGGUGGAGCCAAUCCUGAAACUUGGCCACAGUUCAGAUUGCAGGCUGCAACC
rnacentral:rRNA from 1 species